ACCUGGGUGGCUCAGUCAGUUGAGCAUCUGACUUUGGCUCAGGUCAUGAUCUCACAGUUCGUGAGUUCGAGCCCCACAUCAGGCU
rnacentral:tRNA from 1 species